rnacentral:rRNA from 1 species
UACGAGGGGAGCAAGCGUUGUUCGGAUUGACUGGGCGUAAAGGGCGCGUAGGCGGUUUGUACAGUCAGACGUGAAAUUCCUGGGCUCAACCUGGGGCUGCGUUUGAUACGUGCAGACUUGAGUUCGGAAGAGGGUCGUGGAAUUCCCAGUGUAGAGGUGAAAUUCGUAGAUAUUGGGAAGAACACCGGUGGCGAAGGCGGCGACCUGGUCCGAUACUGACGCUGAGGCGCGAAAGCGUGGGAGCAAACAGG